AUUUGUAUAGUUUAAUAAAAACUUUACAUUUUCAUUGUAAAAUUAGAUUCUCAUCUUACAAAUA
rnacentral:tRNA from 1 species